CCAAAUUUGUUCUCACAAUACACAAAUCAACGGCUGUGAGGUGAUGGUUAGGCGUGAUCCAGACUGCGGUUCACACGCAUGCGGUGAAGUUUCGACUCCCCAUUUUUCAUAGACGAAGUUGGGAAGGAGAGGUAGAGAGAGAAAUAAGAGGAGAAACUAUCUGUUUCAUCGAUUCCAAUUCUAAGAAGAAAAACGAAAAAAAGAUCAGUAUUAUGAACGAUGAGGAAUCAAAUCAAUCUGAUUUUUUAACUGGGCUAUCCAGUUUGAUAUAAGUUUUGGGUUUUGCUUUUGUUGGCGUAUUUCUUUCGGUUCUUACUUCUCUUACUGUUUUGUUUUAGUAGUUAUGAGUAUUGGAAGUUCUAAUUGUUUUUCUUUUAUUUGAUGUUACAGAACUUGGAAGUAACUGAGCAAUGAGCAUUGAGAAAAGUACAUGUCACAUGUGGAUAGAAAGGGAGUCUGCCAAAAAUAAAAUAAAAUGAGAAAGCUCCUAAACCUACCACCGAUCGAUAAUGAGGGUCUUGAUAUGUUUUCCAAGUUCAUGAUCUAAAAGUACAGCUAGAUAAAGGGAGGCUGUUACUUGAGAGAAGAAGAUGAAGAGACUGAUGUGGAUUCUAUUGAGGGAUACAGGACCAAGUGAUAAGCGAGAUGACUCCUAUGUACGAGAUGAGUUGGUCUACCUAAUUGUAUAUUCUCUGAUAACGAAACUCCAUGUCAACUGCGGUUUGCUAUAACUAUGAUUUUUACAAAGGGAGGUCCGAUUUUAUAGACUCUUCGGAGGUAGUUCCCACCAUUAUUCAGCCCGAAUAGAAAUUCUGAACUUUUGCAGCAUUACUUCAUCGUUACGAACUCAAAAGCAGUGAAUUAACAGCACCAUCAUUUCUGCUAAUCAAGGAGAUGGCAGAAGGAGAGAAUUUUGGAACAGAUUUUCACUUUAACCUGUAAAAGAGCUGGGGUUGAACGCUUCAGUGAUUGGUAAUGGCGCUUUACUGUUUACCAGAUUAUGAGUUAUUUCUUAAGGUUUUUAAACUGCACAGGUUUCAUGUGAAGGUAGAACCAAAUACAUGCAGAUGUAGUAUCAUCACCAGACGCAUGUUUUUGUCACUUCAUUUAAGCCAGCAGCAGGAUUUGGUCAAUGAAAACAUAAAGAUCUCUUGCCAUAGGGUACCAGUUGUCUAAAAAGAUGCCAUAUCUGUAUCAAUUCGAGCAAAAUGCAAGGGUUUGGGGGAAGAAGAUAGUUUUGGUGGAGGGAAAGUUGACAGUUCAAUACUUAGAUUUGUUGAUCAUUAACUACGACAGUGAUGUCAACAUCUUAGAAUGAUACAGACAGUGCUUGGAGGUUUCAGUUCAAUUUCACUUAUUUAUUGCACCCGUAGGUAUCGGAAAAAAAAGGUGUUGCUAGCAAAUCCUACACGGCAGGUGAUGAUCAAGUUCUUUUCUCAAAAUUUGGGUUUAUAAAUUACAUAACAGUUAUUACAGUAUAACACAACAAUCAAGAGUCAGAGAACUAAAAACCCAAAACACCGUGUUAGCUCUUCUUCCUCAAAUAGAGUGAUGGGGCCAACAACUUAACAAUAGUUUGGGUUUUGCUUGGCUGAUCGAUAACAGAAAUUCAUUUACAUUCAGAUGUUUGGAAGGUCUAGCGAAAGUCAAAAGUGUUCAAUAUGAUAUCUAUAGACGGGCUCUUCAAUCCUGCAAAUGUAUCGUUAAUUACUACCUACUUAUAUCUUACCCACAAUUGCUUCACAUGUAAGAGUAAAAUAUUUUACAGAGGAAUAGUGUUAGGAAUCUGGGGAGGGAGUGUACUGCUUCUCGAGAAAGGACAGUGAGUAGGUGUGUAAAAGCUAAUAAAAAAAAAUUAGUGAUAAAGUAUGUUUUAUUUUCCUCUG